UUAUAAUAUCGAUACGAAAUUAUUUUUAACUAAUUAUUGUUCAGUUUAUUUCAGAUUAAACUAAGUUCCAUCGUUUCAAGAUAAUUAAAGUGAAAAGGCAGUAAUAAAAAUGGCAACUAGCAGAGCCCGUGCGUUGACCGUCUCCAACCUGGAUAAUAUGAUGGAGAA